CUUAUCACCAGUGCCAACUUUUGUUCAUAUAUGGAAGAAAAGGGCAGUGGAGCAAUAUUCCCCAACCCCUUACCUUGCCACCUUAUUGAAUUGCAUGGUAUGGGUGCUGUAUGGGCUGCCCAUGGUGCACCCUAAAAGCUUAUUGGUUAUAACCAUAAAUGGAUCAGGGACAGCCAUUGAAAUUCUCUACAUUAUCCUUUUCAUCAUCUACUCAGACAAGAAAAAGAGGGUUAAAGUGCUGCUAAUAGUGCUUGUUGAGCUUAUUUUCAUCGCUGGCCUUGCCAUUCUGGUCCUAACUUUAGCCCACACCACCAAGAAAAGGUCUAUCAUUGUGGGGUUUAUCUGCAUAUGCUUUAACAUCAUGAUGUAUGCCUCCCCAUUAUCAGUCAUGAAGCUUGUAAUUACAACAAAUAGUGUGGAGUAUAUGCCAUUCUUCCUAUCUCUUGCUUCCUUUGCCAAUAGUCUUACCUGGUCUACUUAUGCUCUCAUCCUUUUCGAUCCAUUCAUCCUUAUUCCUAACGGGUUGGGUUCGCUACUUGCAUUGGCGCAACUGGCACUGUAUGCGGUGUACUACAAAUCUACAAAGAGGGAAAUAGCAGCAAGGGAAGGGAAAGCCGAGUUGGGUUUAUCACAAGUAGUUGUGAAUGGAGAUUCCAAGAAGCCACACACUGCAUCUCUCAAUGCUUCUUCUGCUUCUGGGAUCAAAUAGGACUUGACAGUCCAAUCUAAUUUUCCAAUGGUAGGACCCUGUUUCUUGGGUUCCCCCCCUAAUGGUUUGGGAAGGUAACCUACCAAAGGUACAAUUUGCUGCGUAAGCAGCCAACCAUGGUUUUUGCCUCAUCAAUCUAUGUUUUGUGAUUGGUUUUUCUAUAUGUAGUUUUGGUGUUUUAAGAACCAUAUGUGAGCGUAUGCUUGAGAAUGUCAUAAAUUUGCUUUUGGUAAAAACCAUGGUUGGCUGCUUACGCAGCA
rnacentral:misc_RNA from 1 species